rnacentral:sRNA from 1 species
CUGGGUGCAGUACGGUGUAUGCAUUUUGAUUCCGCAUGCGCGGGUUAUGCAUGGUGCAAAGUCAUCCGGCCCACUGGCGCUUGAGUUUCCUCUCUGAGUGGGCGGCUAUUUAGUAUUCCCUGGGGAGGGGAGAUAUCGGUGCUGGGUGUCCUCCCUUUGGUCCAAAACGGCUCAGGUAAUAAUAUAUAUCCUUUGAGGUUCUUUCGCCGCCGUAUUCCUUACCAUGGAUGCCCAGGUAGCUGCGGUCUACAUGGGAAGGUGGACAAGGAUCAGAGGAUCGUUGGAAGCAGGAUAGGAGGGAAGUACCAGCGGACCCAAAGAGGAAGACCAGUUACCUCAAAGGAUUUGAAGGCAUGGAAAUGGCGCUGGUGGGAAAUCUACUUCAUUUCCACUGGCUCCGAGGAUCAAACGCCCUGUCACGGCUAUGGUGCUUGAAACCCCGGGAAAGAGAAUUGAGGAGGCCAGCUUACACGCAG